rnacentral:lncRNA from 1 species
CGUGUCAUGGUGGCUGGACCACCGCCGCCACUCGUCGUGCGCGAAGAAGACCGGUGUUGGAGAUAUGCCCUAGAGACAAUCACGUAUGAUGAUAUUUCCUAUGUGUUUACAAAUAAAGGUAGUCCUUAAACAUUAUCAAUGAUGUGUAUUAACAAGUACGUGACUUCUUUGUGAGACUAUACAUUGUAUCAUGACUGUCCUAAAUGGUUCCUAG